rnacentral:rRNA from 1 species
ACUCCUACGGGAGGCAGCAGUGGGGAAUAUUGCACAAUGGGCGCAAGCCUGAUGCAGCAACGCCGCGUGAGGGACGACGGCCUUCGGGUUGUAAACCUCUUUUAGCAGGGAAGAAGCGAAAGUGACGGUACCUGCAGAAAAAGCGCCGGCUAACUACGUGCCAGCAGCCGCGGUAAUACGUAGGGCGCAAGCGUUAUCCGGAAUUAUUGGGCGUAAAGAGCUCGUAGGCGGUUUGUCGCGUCUGCUGUGAAAUCCGGAGGCUCAACCUCCGGCCUGCAGUGGGUACGGGCAGACUAGAGUGCGGUAGGGGAGAUUGGAAUUCCUGGUGUAGCGGUGGAAUGCGCAGAUAUCAGGAGGAACACCGAUGGCGAAGGCAGAUCUCUGGGCCGUAACUGACGCUGAGGAGCGAAAGGGUGGGGAGCAAACAGGCUUAGAUACCCUGGUAGUCCACCCCGUAAACGUUGGGAACUAGUUGUGGGGUCCAUUCCACGGAUUCCGUGACGCAGCUAACGCAUUAAGUUCCCCGCCUGGGGAGUACGGCCGCAAGGCUAAAACUCAAAGGAAUUGACGGGGACCCGCACAAGCGGCGGAGCAUGCGGAUUAAUUCGAUGCAACGCGAAGAACCUUACCAAGGCUUGACAUAUACGAGAACGGGCCAGAAAUGGUCAACUCUUUGGACACUCGUAAACAGGUGGUGCAUGGUUGUCGUCAGCUCGUGUCGUGAGAUGUUGGGUUAAGUCCCGCAACGAGCGCAACCCUCGUUCUAUGUUGCCAGCACGUAAUGGUGGGAACUCAUGGGAUACUGCCGGGGUCAACUCGGAGGAAGGUGGGGAUGACGUCAAAUCAUCAUGCCCCUUAUGUCUUGGGCUUCACGCAUGCUACAAUGGCCGGUACAAAGGGCUGCAAUACCGCGAGGUGGAGCGAAUCCCAAAAAGCCGGUCCCAGUUCGGAUUGAGGUCUGCAACUCGACCUCAUGAAGUCGGAGUCGCUAGUAAUCGCAGAUCAGCAACGCUGCGGUGAAUACGUUCCCGGGUCUUGUACACACCGCCCGUCAAGUCAUGAAAGUCGGUAACACCUGAAGCCGG